AACGAACGUUGGCGGCGUGGAUGAGGCAUGCAAGUCGAACGUGAAAGCCGCAAGGUGAGUAAAGUGGCGGACGGGCGAGUAACACGUAAUCAAGCUACCCGCGAGACGGGGAUAACCUCGGGAAACCGAGGCUAAGACCGGAUGGUUUGCAAGGAUCGCAUGGUUUUUGCAAUAAAUGGACGGGAUCCUUCGGGACCGUCUGCUCGCGGAGGUGAUUGCGGCCCAUCAGUUAGUUGGUAGGGUAACGGCCUACCAAGACUACGACGGGUAGCCGGCCUUAGAGGGUGGUCGGCCGCACUGGGACUGAGACACUGCCCAGACUCCUACGGGAGGCUGCAGUCGAGAAUCUUCCGCAAUGGGCGAAAGCCUGACGGAGCGACGCCGCGUGGAGGACGAAGGCCUUCGGGUUGUAAACUCCUGUCACGAGUUAAGAAGGGGCUGCGACGAACAGUCGUAGACUUUGACGUAAGCUCGAGAGGAAGCACUGGCUAACUCUGUG
rnacentral:rRNA from 1 species